AAACGUACAUGGCUCCGGGUUUAGGAUGAUCAAGAAUGCUCUGACCCCGGGUGGAGGCUCACCAUUGCACCCCAGUGGGUUGCAACUAGUGACGGCCCCUAAUCGGGUGUUCUUUGGCGUAUGGCUUUUGUUAGUGGGACGCCUAAUGGCCCUCCCUU
rnacentral:snRNA from 15 species